rnacentral:rRNA from 1 species
GAGUUUGAUCGUGGCUCAGAACGAACGCUGGCGGCGUGGAUAAGACAUGCAAGUCGAACGGGAGAAUUGCUAGCUUGCUAAUAAUUCUCUAGCGGCGCACGGGUGAGUAACACGUGAGUAACCUGCCCCCGAGAGCGGGAUAGCCCUGGGAAACUGGGAUUAAUACCGCAUAGUAUCGAAAGAUUAAAGCAGCAAUGCGCUUGGGGAUGGGCUCGCGGCCUAUUAGUUAGUUGGUGAGGUAACGGCUCACCAAGGCGAUGACGGGUAGCCGGUCUGAGAGGAUGUCCGGCCACACUGGAACUGAGACACGGUCCAGACACCUACGGGUGGCAGCAGUCGAGAAUCAUUCACAAUGGGGGAAACCCUGAUGGUGCGACGCCGCGUGGGGGAAUGAAGGUCUUCGGAUUGUAAACCCCUGUCAUGUGGGAGCAAAUUAAAAAGAUAGUACCACAAGAGGAAGAGACGGCUAACUCUGUGCCAGCAGCAGCCGCCGUAAC